AAACAACAGCAUUUAAAUGCGUACCGGUUUCGGCCCGGUAAGAGCGAUCCCACGCAUUGUUUU
rnacentral:tRNA from 1 species